rnacentral:rRNA from 1 species
UGGUUCCUACGGGGGGCAGCAGUGGGGAAUCUUCCACAAUGGACGAAAGUCUGAUGGAGCAACGCCGCGUGAGUGAAGAAGGGUUUCGGCUCGGAAAACUCUGUUGGUAGUGAAGAAAGAUAGAGGUAGUAACUGGCCUUUAUUUGACGGUAAUUACUUAGAAAGUCACGGCUAACUACGUGCCAGCAGCCGCGGUAAUACGUAGGUGGCAAGCGUUUUCCGGAUUUAUUGGG